UACGUAGGGUGCAGGCGUUAAUCGGAAUUACUGGGCGUAAAGCGUGCGCAGGCGGCUCCUUAAGUCAGAUGUGAAAUCCCCGGGCUUAACCUGGGAACUGCACUUGUGACUGCACGGCUGGAGUACGGCAGAGGGGGAUGGAAUUCCGCGUGUAGCAGUGAAAUGCGUAGAUAUGCGGAGGAACACCGAUGGCGAAGGCAGUCCCCUGGGCCUGUACUGACGCUCAUGCACGAAAGCGUGGGGAGCAAACAGG
rnacentral:rRNA from 1 species